rnacentral:rRNA from 1 species
GAUGAACGCUGACAGCAUGCUUAACACAUGCAAGUCUUUCGCGAAGCUGUGCUUGCACAGCCUAGCCAAGGCGGACGGGUGAGUAACGCGUCAGGAACUUGCCCUGCAGUCAGGGAUAACAGUCGGAAACGCCUGUUAAGACCUGGUAAAGACAGGCGGACUCCUGUCCAGCCUGCUGAAAAGAGAUGCUGCAGGAGAGGAUUGCGUCCUAUUCGCUUGGUGGUGGGGUAACGGCCCACCAAGGCGAGGAUAGGUACCCGGGCUGUGAGGGUUGACGGGCACAAGUGGACUGGGAUACGGCCCUUACUCCCACGGGAGGCAGGAGUGGGGAAUAUUGGAGAAAGGGGGCAACGCUGAUCCAGGAAUUCUGGGUGCACGAUGAAGGGUUUCGGAUUGAAAAGUGCUUUCAGCAGGGAAGAAAAAAAUGACGGUACCUGCAGAAGAAGCGACGGCUAAAUACGUG